rnacentral:rRNA from 1 species
CAGUAGCCGCGGGAAUACGGAGGGUGCAAGCGUUAAUCGGAAUUACUGGGCGUAAAGCGCACGCAGGCGGUCUGACAAGUCAGAUGUGAAAUCCCCGGGCUUAACCUGGGAACUGCAUUUGAAACUGGCAAGCUAGAGUCUUGUAGAGGGGGGUAGAAUUCCAGGUGUAGCGGUGAAAUGCGUAGAGAUCUGGAGGAAUACCGGUGGCGAAGGCGGCCCCCUGGACAAAGACUGACGCUCAGGUGCGAAAGCGUGGGGAGCAAACAGGAUUAGAUACCCCAGUAGUCCCUGUCUCUUAUAC